UGCAGUCGAGCGAUCUGAGGGAGCUUGCUCCCAAAGAUUAGCGGCGGACGGGUGAGUAACACGUGGGCAACCUGCCUGUAAGACUGGGAUAACUUCGGGAAACCGGAGCUAAUACCGGAUAAUCCCUUUCCUCACAUGAGGAAAGGCUGAAAGACGGCGUCUAGCUGUCACUUACAGAUGGGCCCGCGGCGCAUUAGCUAGUUGGUGAGGUAACGGCUCACCAAGGCCACGAUGCGUAGCCAACCUGAGAGGGUGAUCGGCCACACUGGGACUGAGACACGGCCCAAACUCCUACGGGAGGCAGCAGUAGGGAAUCUUCCGCAAUGGACGAAAGUCUGACGGACCAACGCCCCGUGAGUGAUGAAGGUUUUCGGAUCGUAAAACUCUGUUGUUAGGGAAGAACAAGUAUCGGAGUAACUGCCGGUACCUUGACGGUACCUAACCAAAAAGCCACGGCUAACUACGUGCCAGCAGCCGCGGUAAUACGUAGGUGGCAAGCGUUGUCCGGAAUUAUUGGGCGUAAAGCGCGCGCAGGUGGUUCCUUAAGUCUGAUGUGAAAGCCCACGGCUCAACCGUGGAGGGUCAUUGGAAACUGGGGAACUUGAGUGCAAAAAAGGAAAGUGGAAUUCCAGUGUAGCGGUGAAAUGCGUAGAGAUUUGGAGGAACACCAGUGGCGAAGGCGACUUUCUGGUCUGUACUGACACUGAGGCGCGAAAGCGUGGGGAGCGAAAGGAUUAGAUACCUGGUAGUCCACGCCUAAACGAUGAGUGCUAGUGUUAGAGGGUUCCGCCCUUAAUGC
rnacentral:rRNA from 1 species